ACACCAGCGCCACAAGUGGCAACCAUUUUUAUUGGGCCUAAAGCGUUCGUAGCCGGUCUAGUAAAUUUUCUGUGAAAUCGUUGGGCUUAACUCAACGGCGUGCAGGAAAGACUGCUAGACUAGGGACUGGGAGGCGUCAGAGGUAUUCUUGAGGGAGCGGUAAAAUGCUAUAAUCUCAGGAGGACCACCUGUGGCGAAGGCGUCUGACGAGAACGGAUCCAACGGUGAGGAACGAAAGCCAGGGGAGCGAACCGGAUUAGAAACCCCAGUAGUCC
rnacentral:rRNA from 1 species